rnacentral:sRNA from 1 species
UGACUGGAGAGCUCAAGUACAGCAAAGAGAAGUGUCAGAGCAUGAGCGCCAAGUCCAGAACCAUAGGGAUUAUUGGAGCUCCUUUCUCAAAGGGACAGCCACGAGGAGGGGUGGAAGAAGGCCCUACAGUAUUGAGAAAGGCUGGUCUGCUUGAGAAACUUAAAGAACAAGAGUGUGAUGUGAAGGAUUAUGGGGACCUGCCCUUUGCUGACAUCCCUAAUGACAGUCCCUUUCAAAUUGUGAAGAAUCCAAGGUCUGUGGGAAAAGCAAGCGAGCAGCUGGCUGACAAGGUGGCAGAAGUCAAGCAGAAUGGAAGAAUCAGCCUGGUGCUGGGCGGAGACCACAGGUCUUGUUGAAUAACUGUGUCUAUGGGAAUCUGGCACAAAAGAAGUGUAACCAAGGCCAUAAGAAGAGAGAAAAUAUAGAAAUAUAGACAGAAAAGCAUUGACCUAUAUUUUAUAUCAAAUUUUCUGCCUUUAAAAAAAUUGUAUAGGUUACUUUUAUUAUAGAAACAGACUUCGCUCAAUUUGAAGUCUUACAAUAUCUGUAUUUUGACCUAGUACAGCAGAAAAUGUAUGAAAUAUGAAUGGAUUUCAUCUAAAUAUUCAUCACAAGCUUACAUUUCUAAAUAAGUAUGUGAGGCAAUUCAUAGCUUAUUUGUUCUUAAUUGCUGAUAAUAUAUACAACUCAUAUAGGUCAACAAUUUCAAAGCAUGUGUUUUUCAUUAU